AGGAGUUCAAGACCGGCCUGGGCAACAUGGCAAAACUGUCUCUACAAAAUAUACAAAAAUUAGCUGUGCGUGGCGGUGUGUGCCUGUAGUCCUAGCUAUACAGGAGGCUGAGGUGGGAGGAUUGCUUGAGUUUGGGGAGGUCAAGCCUUCAGUGAAGCCGUGAUUGUGCCACUGCAUUCCAGCCUGAGUGACAGAGUGAGACCCUGUCUUAAAAAACAAACACACAAACAAACAAACCAGUCACAAAAGCCCACCCCACAUCAAGGGGAGGGGAAUUGAACUCCACCUCUUGAUGGAGAAAUGAUAAGAUUGAAAUCAUCCUCGCAAGCGUUCCUCCAAGGCUAGCUCCUUUCAAGAUAGCCUUCCUCUGUGACUGGGUUUUUUCCUGCCCAGCAUUCAGCCACCUUUUCUACCUGUUUUAAUCUCCACUCUUCCCCCAGCCCAGCCCCUCAACUGUAUUUGUCAUCUCCUUGUGAUUCCCACUUAUGAUGCAGACCAAAAC
rnacentral:lncRNA from 1 species